CACGGGCGGGCGGGCGAGAGCCCCGGAAAAAGCCUGGCCAAGGGAGGGCAAAACGCUGCCCGGCAGCCAGGGCUGAGCGGGGGAACCGUGCGGGAAACAGCCCUGCGAGCCUGAGGGGACAGCGGGAGCGGGGACGGAGGCGGGGAGACCCGGCACGGAUGGCCCUGGGCCAGGGAGAGACCCCGGCGGGACAGGGGCUUCCCUGCAGCCCGUAGGAAAGACCCACGUUGGGGCAGGGAAAAGUGUGAGGAGGAAGGAAUAGGAGAGACGAGCUGCUAUGGAGUGACAGCAGCUCCUCAUUCCCCAUCACUCUGCGCCGCUUGGGUUGAUGAGGUAUAUCGGUCAGGAGAGAAGGAGCAAAGCUGAGCCUGAGAAGAGGGAAGGGCAUGGCAUCCCGCCCCUGCAAGACAGUUCUCCAUGAACUUCUCCAGUGUGGGUCCUUCCCACAACUUUUAGUUUUCCAAGAAGUGCUCCAGUGUGAGUCUUUUUUACAGAGUAAUGUCCUUCAGGAAUGGGCUGUCCCAGCAUGGGUCCUGACAGAAAACCUACUCCACUGAGACCUGUCCAUGAGCUAUUGCUUUCUUCAGGGCACAUCCACCUACUCCGGCAUGGGAUCCUCCAUCAGGCUGCAGCAAAACUACAGAAUAGCAUCUUUCAUAAUUAUAGCUGGUUCUGUUUCCACCAUGAAGACACAGGGAAUCGUCUUUUCCAGAACAAAUGGCUGAAGAUGCUGCUUAGGUUAUUCUAACUGCACAGGUACACCUUUUGAUGUCUUCCUUUACAUAACUGAGAGAUCACUGCUCAGGAAUAAUUCUUCUGUCUUCUUGGAUAUUGACCUGAGAUUUUGUCCCAUCAAUUUUCUCCAUACUUACUUAGUCCCAGGAUAGCCAUUGCAUUCAAUAAUCAAAAUUAAAUAAUCAAGUUUGCUGAUGACACCAAGCUGUGUGGCGCAGUUGACAUGCCAGAUGGAAAGGAUGCCAUCCAGAGAGACCUUGACAGGCUUGAGAGAUGGGACUGUGCAAAUCUCAUGAAGUUCAACAAGUCCAAGUUCAAGCUCCUGCACACUGGUCAGGGCAAUCUCAAGCACAAAUUCAGUCUGGAUGGAGAAGGGAUUGAGAGCAGCCCCGAGGAGAAGAACUUGGGCGUGUUGGUAGACGAGAAGCCUGACAUGACCUGUCAGGGCACACUUGCAUCCUGGACAGCCAACAGUAUCCUGGGCUGCAUUAAAAGAAGAAUGACCAGAGGGUCUGAUUCUACUGCUGUACUACACUUUUGUGAGACCCUGCCUGCGGUACUGAAUCAAACCCUGGGGUCCCCAACACUAGAAGGAUGUGCACCUAUUGGAGUGGGUCCAGAGGAGGGUCAUUAAGAUGAUCAGAAGGAUGGAGCACCUCUCCUGUGAAGACAGGCUGAGAGAGUUGGGGUUGUUCAGCCUGAGGAAGAGAAGUCUCUGAAGAGACCUUACCAGAACUUUCCAGUACCUAAAGGAGGCUACAAGGAAGAUGGAAAAGGACUUUUCACUAGGGCAUGUAGUGACAGGACAAGGGGGAAUGGCUUUAAACUGAAAGUAGUUUUAGAUUAGAUAUUAGAAAGAAAUUCUUAACUAUGAGACUGGCGAUGCAUUGGAACAGGUUCCCCAGAGAAGUUGUGGAUGCCCCAUCCUUGGAAAUGUUCAAGGCCAGGUUUGAUGGGGCUCACAGCAACCUGGUGCAGUGGAAAGUGUCCCUGCCCAUGGCAGAAGGGUUGGAUCUAGAUAAUGUUUAAGGUCCCUUCCAACCCAAACUUUUCUGUGAUUCUAUGAUUAUAUAAAUGUCUACCUCAUUAUAUAGAUAACAUACAUAAUACAGUCAGCCACCUGCUCUUUAUUUGCAGCUCUUCCUGUUAAAAAGCAUUUCGCAAUACACUCUGACUCCUAAUUUGUAUGUCUUAAAGCACCUUUCAUGGGAAACAUUGAUCACAUUAUCUGUAAAAGGAGUAUUUCAACUAUGCAAUCUUUUGUUGUAACAGGCCAGUGGUUGUGCUCUGAUUCUUAAGAAAUAAGGGUUUGCUUAUUUUUCCUGUGAGAUGUUUUAUUUUAAAGUUGAUCACAGAGGUGCCUAUGAAUAUUAGGUACCUGAAAAGUUUUGGCAUUGUGACUAUUUUCUAUUGGCAUUGCUUGACAAUUCUAUUCCUCCUAGAACAUCCUUGCAUCACUUUGAUGUUGGUGCAUAUACACAUUGUAUAAUGCAUUGUAUCAAAGUAUUAAAUGUUAAUUGAUUUUAAAUAAUGUUAUUUCUAGAAUAGCAAAUA